rnacentral:piRNA from 1 species
UCACGAUGAUCUUCUACUUGCUACCAGCA